rnacentral:lncRNA from 1 species
ACGGAUAUAUUACUAGUUUGACAUUAUAAUUUGACAUAAAAAUAUCAAACUUGUAUAUAACAUAAAAAUAUCAAACUUGCUCAUUAGCAUGACAACAUAACAUUAACAUAGAAUAUUACACAAACAUUAUAUAAACAUUUAAUAUCAUAAUGACAUGGAUUUUAUUCUUGAGAUGGUUGUGGUGCCUGUGGUGCUUAUGAUGAAGUCAUAAUCUCUAUUGCAAUAUUUAUGUUUACGUUCUUCUUCUUUUCCUUUGUAGUCUUUUCGGUUUUGGCCUUAUUUACACCAUUU